UUUUUAGAAGGGUCCGAGAUAUUUGUGCCGUAGCUUUUCUGAAUGACAGAAGGAAUAUUGAUUUACACAGAUUAUUUUCUCUUCAUUUAUCCCUUUAAUGAUGUAUCACCAUGUUUAACCUGUGAUCACCUCAACUUUAAUGUCAGUCAGAAAAACAAUUGAAAUGUAUUGAGUAUUUGUGAGGAACGCAAGAAAGGAGGAGUUAACCAGUAAAGUUUGUCCCUGGAUUACAGAAAACCCCACUUAUGAAACUUGUACAAAUUUGUAUCUUAGUUAUGGGAAUAAAAAAGAAAUAAGGUAAAUAUUACUUAGUUCUCAGUAAUGAGAGCAUUUUUAGUUUCCAGAAGAAUCCAGCUUAGUUCUCCAGAUACUCUCUGCAUAUACACUGACUUUUGAUCUCCCCCUGCAUAGCACAGCAUGGGAGAGUAUCUCUGUAAGUCCUCCAGCAAUUCAGGACUGUGGGUACCUUUGAUGUGCUCCUCUCCCAGCAGAGAGGAAAGUGGGCCUUGGUAGCAAUGGUCCAGGCCAGGCUGACCCACCAGCACGUUGCUGCUGAGCUGCUGGCCCAACUCACCGAUUGCACCCCUAACUUCUGUUCUAUUAAUAGCCAUGUUACAGCCAAAUCAGAAUAUAAGGUCUGGGAUGGGCAGCGCAUGCUGAAAUAGCUUCAGGACUGGGCUGCAGUCAAAGGGAGUCUGUGGUUUUAUUUUUAAACCGGUUGAGCAUAUUUUAAAUUGAAUAAGCAUUGUCAGAACUAAUCAUAUCUCAUACCCAGCAUUCCGCUGAACACUUCAAAUACAUUUCCUCAUGGAGCCUCAUCCCAGCCUGCAGCUGAGUGGUUUUGGUGCCACUGGGCUGACUGACUCAGUGAGGGUCAUCUGCUUACCUGCUGGGAGGAAAAAGCCCGUAUCUGCCUGAGUGGUUACCAGGCUAUGGUAACCAGGUAACAGCUUAGCAACUUUGAAAAAAAUAUCAGCAGAGUAACUUUGCAUGGAGGUAGAUGAGCAAUGCUCAGACAGCCUCCCCCAUUCCCCAGCCAUACGCCAACAGCAUCUUGAGGAGCUGCAGGGUGUUGUGAACAAGCACCAGAGCUGAACAAGGAGCUGAAACCUGGCACCAGUGUGAUGUGACACGUCUACCACGAUUUCCUCCUUGGUUGAAGUGCUUCAUCGUACCUCUGCUGCACCAGUAAGAGCUGUGUGCUCCAACUGCUGGCCUCCAGCUGAGAGCGCCGUGCUUCCCUUCCCAAUGGAAAAGCAACAGAAGUGGCCAUUAAUAGUACGAAUUUAUAGCUUAAGAGGUUUGCAAGUAUCUAAGUGCUGCAUGUGCUAUGAUAAUUUAUCUUUGAACUUGUUAGUAACAAUGCAUAAUUAACAAGUAAGCUGUAGGAACAUGCAAUUGCUAUGUAUUUACAUGGUAUGUGCCAGGCAUUGUGGUGUAAUUACAGAGCUGAUACCUGCUCUGUAGAAUGAGGCGCACAGUGUGCUCUAUUUCAUAUUAUUUCCCACAGCCGCCCAGUGAAGCAGAGCACAGCAUAGCAGGGUUUAAUGACACGCUUUGCUCCAGCGGAGGCAAUCCAUGAGGACAGAGCUACACAGACCUGUGCCCAGCACUGGCAUUUUGGCAUCACCGUAUGUCCUGCUCGCUUGAGUGGCAAUGCACAUGGAGCUCAAGUUACUUAUGCUUUGGAUUGCUGCCCUUUCGGUGAUAUAAAUGGAGUUGACUAUGCAGUACGGCAAUUUUUUCCUCUCAUAUAUAAUAUGACGCAUCUUUGCAAUAAUUACAGGUAAAACAGUGCACAAAAAUAAACUAUUUUCUAUGAAGUUUAAAAUAAAAACAAACAGAUGCCAGCUUGGAACAACUUAUUUACCCUAAAAUUCAUUAGGAUCAGAAUACCAAAUGUGAAGUAGCAUAACACAGGCACCAGGGGAAAAAAAACAGCUAGUGGUGAAAAGUGCAAAGAAAUCUGAUGCAUCUCCAAGCUAGUCAUCUUUUACUUGAUUCAGCAUAAACUGCAUGUAAAAAUAAAUUAAAAUAUUAUAUUUGAGAUUCACUUUUGGCAGGAAAAGGAAUGCUGUGCUUGUCAAAGUGACACAAGAAUUUCUGUGCCCAGUUUCUAAAAUGGUGUCAUCAGAACACAGAUAUGAAGUAUUACCCAUUCUGAGCAGAAAAUACAGACCGUGGUGGGCAGUAGACACAACACUACUCCGGGUAUAGAACUGACUUGAUAGAAACAUUGAUGUACCUGUUGAUGCUUAGGAAAUAAAAUUCAACCUCAGCAUACAGGGAAGCAACCUGAGAGUGGCCUAGUGGAACAAAAAGCUUCUUCCUGCAGCAGACUGAAUGGUCCAGAAUAAGUGAAGCCCAAGUCACUUAUCAGCAACAAGAGUUAACAUUUCAGUCCAUCUCAGAAGAUAUAGCUCAGGAACAUUCAUAAGGUGCACCAAGUCCUUCCUAUACUGAUGAAUUGAAGGUAAUUUCAGAAGAAGCUGAUUUGGAAGGAAAACAAUCUCCUUUUGGAAAAAUUCAUAUCUGGAAAACAUGUUAAUUGCUUUAUGACUUGCAUUCCUCAGUAUCUCUAUACAGAUUUUUUUUUAAUAAUUAUUUUUCAAGAUUUUCAUAAAGUGUACCUUUGGCAAAGGAACUGGGAAGAGAUGCCCACACAUAUCCUAGGUACAAAUGCAGGCACCAUCAAGAUUUCACGACUUGUUAAUUUCUACUUCUUCUAUGUAAAAUCAUGAAGUGCCUGGGUGACAGCUGCAGCAACUGUUUACAUUAUCUGAAAUACCAGCACAGUGUUCUCGCUGCAUACCAACAAGAACCGAGGCCCAUAUUCUACAAACGUUUUCAAAGGAAAUAUUUGAGGCAAGCUGCCAGCCUUGGGUUUGAAAUUCUCACUGCGGUUAAUGGUGGCACGCAGGGUUGGGGUUGACUUUUACCUACUUUUCAAUAUUGCAUAUGCAUUCCAGUACUUUCUUUGUAAGAGGACACAUGGUAAAUAUUCAAAUCCCUCCAAACAGUGAAUUCUUUUAAACUUUUAUCUGAAAAAGAUGCUAUUUUUCAAGCUGAGAAGGGCAGUUUCCUCCAUCUGUUCAGUGGCAGAUAAGUUCAAAACGAAGACUUUCCACCGGCUUCAGUAGGGUCUGAAUCAGACACCUCUGCCAGUGCUUUGAUAGAGUUAUUUUUCAUAAAGAUGCAACAUCAACCGGAAGAAUCCUGUAAUUAUUUCUGGGGAAUUAAUAAAUACUUCUUCAGUGGUGAAACACUGCAUACUUUCAGUCCUUAUUUGGAGCCCAACCACUCUAUAUGUCAUUGAAGGCCUUGUCUCGCACAGACAAUUAGUGAGACAAACUGGAAUGAUGUCUUCCAAAAGCUCUGGCUAGGAGCAGCUCCCAGUUGUGAAGCGUGCAGAUGAUGUUCUCUUUAGGGCUAGAAAAGCUAUCUGCUAGCUGAUGGGAAAAUUACAGGUGCUGAUGAAGUGUGAGCCUCUCAGUGAACAUGUCUGCCUAAGACUGAAAUGAUUUUCUGUAAUUCCUGCUUUCUGCACAAGUUUUCUGGGGAGGGGCUUCAAAAGUGAGAAUUUCCCCAAGGAAAAGGAAAUGUGUCUCUUUGAUAUGGCCAUGGAGCUGAGGAGCAGACACCGUGAGUUACAAGUUCAUGGAGGGUGAUGACAAAUGUUUGAACACUCCUUAGCAAAUCACUCACACAUGAUUUAUGGAGCGAAUUACUUGCAGAAGGAUUACAGCACAUGUUUUCCAAAAACAUAAAUUUGGGAAAAUCAAUCUGCUCACAGACAAAUAACGAAAAGAGGAAGAGGAAAAUAUUCUCAAACAAAUCUGAAUCUGGAAAUCAUUCACUCAGCUCAGUUUACAGUGACCAAUUUUUAUGGUAGUAGGAGCUUGUGGAGUAGGAGGUAACUGUAAGAAGAAUGAUUGAUUCAGUGUCUUAUAUUGCAAUUCUGGAAGAGGUUCAACAUCUAAUUUAAAAGCCAUUUUCUUGCUCUUACCCAGUAAAGAAAUCAAAAUGAUAGUCAAUGACUGUGAGUUUUGGGCAGAUAGCAUCUAUUUUGUGUCCCUAAAGUCCUGUGGUCACUGACACAGGCUGGUUCAUAACAAAGAGCAGUUACUUAUUAUGAAAGGCCUCUCUUGCCUGAAAAGAAGCCUGCCAGAGGAAGGAUAUUGCUGUUAUAAUCCUCUUUGCAUCUUCCCAUCAGAGGGGAAAAUAUUUGCUCUUCCCGAAGGCUCAAAAUUAGUUAUAAACUUGGUGCUUUCCUUCAGCCUGUGAGUUGGGGAGACCUGAGUAAACUGCAUCUUCUCCAGCCCAUCUUCAUUUCUUCACAGUAAUUAAGAGAGCAGUGAUUUACUUCACCCUAGGAAGGAGACAAAGCACACUUUGGGCAUCUCUCUCCCAAGGCCUAGCCACACACCUGGCACAGGUGCUUCCUGCUCCAGACAGAGGUGGCUCUGAGUGUCCUGCUUAUGCCACUGGCACGGUGGGUGUGCAGCCAACAGCAGAUCUCCUUAAGUCCUUACGCUUUCUUCCUGAUUCCAUAUUUAACUCCUAAUUUCAUUCCUGAGCAGUCAAUGCUGUCCUUCACAGAGACAGCAGAUAGGAAGUAGUCCACUUGAGCCCUACAAGCUCAAUACUGCUAAUAUGUCAACUUCAACAAUUUAUCCAUACAAGAGCUUUAACUCCAACAACAAUCUGAAUGCAGACAGAUCUCAGCCUGCCUCUGUAGAACGCUUGAUCCAGGUCAAAACCUACCACUAACCUUUGCCUUUAUCCUGCCCAGAAUCCCCCAGACCACAUGCAUUUGGGAAGCUGGGCUAGAGAGGGUAAGAAAGAUAUCCUGCUAGCUUUUUUGGCUAUUGUUUAAUUUGUUACACAUGAUUAACUCCUCUAUGUUGCUGCCUGGCAGAAUCCGUGACUAAAAAUAUCCUGUGAGUAUACGGUGCGUGCUGCAACACUGGCAGAAAGUAAAUAAGACCAUAGUCCUCAUAAUCACUGUUUUUGCUAAGAACUACUGCUCCCAGCAGACUGGCUAUUUUAGGCUGUAAAUGGAAAGCUGAAAAUGAGGUUUUCUUUCCCUGCCAGUUCUUCUCCUGGGAAUUCUAUUGCUUUCUGCUCUGCCCCUACUCCAGGUGUUGAUGGCAGCACGCUGCUAACACUGGUCUCACAGGGAAUGGAUCACCAGAGCUGGUUCUGAGGUAUACCAGUGAACAUAGGAAAUAAUUUCCACUAGUAUUGUCAUAUCAUUUGAAUGGAGCACUUGAUCAAAAGUGGAUGGGGAUAGUUUGAUUUACUUCUUGAGUCAGGUGAUAGUUCACUCAGAUUCAGCUUUACGAAGUCAGAAGGGUAUCUUUAGCUGCCUGCACUUCCUGUUCUAAUACUGGUAAAUAUAUUUGCCUCUCUCUUAAUUUUGCAGAACACCUUUUAACCUCUUAUUUGAUGAUCUAAACACAAACACUCUUGAUUUGUAGUCCCAUUGAUACCAGCGAUGCCUGGCCUUGUCUCCAUGAUAUAGCACCUAGAUCACACGUAUCAUAUAGAUCUAAUGAAAGAACUUUGCACGGUGUGCAAAUCUGAGAAGUGCUAAUUAUUAUUCUUAGACUUCAUGCAUUAUGUAUUUUCUGCUGGAAAAAGCUUUGCGUUUUUAGGAAUUCAAAAGAUUAGGCUUUGCUAGAGCAACAUGCAAAUCUAAGAACUUGAGAACAAGUCAUAAUCUUUAGCAUUAGCUGUACCUUUCUGAUGGCUCAAAUGUUGUUUAGAAGGAUUUUCUAGGAAGGAUUUUCCAGGAAACACCCUAGCUAUUUCAUACUGUAUGGCAAACAGGUAUACAGAUUGUAAGGUAUACAGGUAUAGGACCAGAGAGAUUACCGUGUUUACAAAAGAGUAAUGAAAUAAAGAGCUUACCCAUAUCCUGGGCUCACAGAAGGGUUCCAAAAGGGAUGAUCUCCAGAUAGAGAUCCUUCCUCCUUGGGAGACAGCCCUUAAAUGGGGUCUAGGAGGUCACUAAGGUGAAAUUGCGUUCACCUGUGCCCCUGCAGCUGACUCUGCUCACCUCAGGUGGUCAAUCAGAGGUUCAGGCCGUGAUUCAACAGUUCCCGUACACAUGGCAUGAACACUGCUGUCGUAUCAGGCCUGUAUAGCCUUAUUUGUGGAAUACCACUCAAGAGCAUCCUUUGAGUUGCUGAGUAGCUGCUGAGUUCUUUUAAUCAGUUGUACUACUGUGAAGUGGUCUGUGUAUAUAAAAAAUAUAAACUUUUAACUUCCCACACAAAUAUCAGCCAGCAGCAUUCUGACAUUCAAUAAAGUCUGCAGUUCUAAUAGUUACUGAAACUUUUCAAAGUUAUGCCUAAAUGGAGGCAAUUAUAUAUCCAUACCUGUAUUUGCAGCGUUCUUAUGGUGUCUUAUUUCUUUCAAGAUCCUAUUGACUUUUCAGUUCAUGUGGUAUGAUACAGCAAGAGAUCACUGAGCACAGGGCUGGCCCACCAGCAGGCAUUCUGCUCUGCCUGCUGCACUUAUGUGGCAUGAAAGGAGGCUGUGGUCACAGUGAGGCUCCUGCAACCACCUUCCACCAGGUGAGGGAUCAUAGGAUGGCUUGUGUUGGAAGGGUGCCUUUAACGUUCGUUCAUUUCCAACCCCUCUGCUGUGGGCUGGGAUAUCUCCCACUAGAUCAGAUUUCCUGAUGACCCAUCCAGCCUGGUCUUGAAUGCCUUCAGGGAUGGGGCAUCCACAACUUCUCUGGGCAACCUGUGACAGUGCCUCACCUUCUGAGGAAAGUAUUUCUUCCUAAACGUCUAACCCAAAUCUCCUGUCAUUUAGUUUAAAACCAUUCCCCUUUGUUCUACCACUAUCUGCUUUGGUAAAAAGUUGGUCUCCGUUCAGUUUCUUGCCCUCUUUAAGUUCUGAAAGGCCACAACAAGGUCUCCCUGGAGCCUCCUCCAAGCAAAACAAGCCCAAGUCCCUCAACCUUUCCUCAUAGUAGAAGUACUCCAGUCCUGUGUGCGUCUUAGCAGCCCUCCUCUGUACUUGCCUACCCAACAGCUCCACAUCCUCCUCGUGCCGGGUGCCCCAGACCUGGACACAGUCAGAUGGGGAAGCAGUGGUCAGCACUACAAAUUCCCAAGGAUGCCCAAGAUAUUAGUGAUUUUCUGCCUCCAGGGAUAUCUGUUGGGUUGCACAACCCUUCUGUGAGUUCCUCGGGUCUUCCCCAUUUGCAGACUUUUGCUCCUCAUGUUACUGUGAACAGUCCUCUCAUCUUCAGUCUGCACUUAUUCAUGACUAAUUUAUACCCACAUGAUCCCAGGCUAACAUUAACCUUUAACUCCUGCAGUUCUUCCUGCUUGAUAUUCACCCCUUAGGGUAUUUAUAAAUAGUUACAGUCUCAUGCUUAAUUUGCUGUGCUAAAAAAGAUGUACUGAUGUUUAUCAGCAACAGAAUCCUUCCUGCAGAAUCAUAAGUGUGUUCCUUCAUCUUGAAGAUUAGCUCCAAACAGGCCCCUGCUUUGCAAAAACACAGCAUUCCCAGUCCCACGCAGAAGCGGAUCACAUUUUGCUGGCAGCGAGAUCUCCUCAGUGUCCCCGUCACUGGGUGAAACAAGAUGGCGCCCGGCCCCUCACACCUGGGUGAGGCCUGGUGGCACCACGCUGUUCCCGCCAAACAUUCCACCUCCACUGAGGAGAUGAGGUGGCAGCCUCCCAAACACAUAUAACUGGUCCUAAAUGAUCCCAAAGUGUGGCUGAGAGCAGCCCCAAGCCACAGUGCAUGCCUGCUAAGGUUGGCCCAUCCUCAGCUGAGAGCCAGAUGCAUGCUGUGUGAACAGCCCCUUGGCAGAAGAGAAUUAUUAGCCUCCCCCUGUUGGCACCUCCCUCUUUGUUAACAAAUACUUACUUGGAGGAAAAAAAGAAAAAAGAAAAAAAAAAAAGCAUUAUCCUGAAGGUAUGUAUAUAAGAUAUCCCUUAUCAAAAUGCUGAACCGUUGGGAGAACUUCCUUUGGUGUAGGCUACACUGUGUCACCAGGUGCAUCUUCCCCACAGGCCACAUGCUCCUUGUCACCUUUUCCUUCCCUUCCCUCAGUUCCCUUUCUCCCAGCACCCACCACUCACUGACAUAUGGCAUUGCUGCCAUGAGGAGAGGCUCCUUCACAGAGCACGGGGUGCCCCACAUGGCAGCAUGGUACCGCCCUUCCCCACCCACACCACCUUGAUGGGCACUUUUCCCUGGCAAAACCUUCCCCUGUGCUGAGCUACACCAUCUGGAGGAAGCAUUCCUACAAAAUGCUUACUGGCCCAUUACAGAGUGAUUCUCUUCCAUUUUUGCUUUUGUGUUCUGCAGUACAAUCCCACAGGUUGGACUCUGAAGUGCCUGGACCUGGUGCUUCACAUGGGUAGCAAAAGGCAAGGUGAAGAUGUUCCUGACAAGCUAACAAUCUCAUUUUUAUAGUUAAACCUAUAGUGUUACUGGUCUUCUAAGCAUGCAGCAUGGCAAACACCAGUGCAAACAGGCUCCUCCAAAAGAAACAAGCACUCUGACUUAGGAAAACCGAAUAUUGAGCUCUGUGAAGGAGCAGCAAAAAAUUCUGCAGAAACUCUUGACAUCUCUUCGAGGUAAGCUCCCUGCUACAGAGCUGCUUUUUAGAUCACCAUGCUGAAAAUAGUAGUGACAAGAGUGUUUCUAGCCAUCAUUUACAGAAAGGAAAAAGAGUUUUCACUCCGAGGUAUUUAUAGCAGCCUAUUUGAAUACAGGGGAUUUAGUAAAUUCAGAAUUCUCAGUGCUGAACUUUACUGAGAAACUGACUUUGCAGAGAUGAAGUUACACCUCAUCAGGCUGCCUUGCUUUGAUAAUUAACUUACUUAAAGCGCAGCAGUGAAAAAUUUCUCCGCUUUAAGAUGAAAUGUUUCACGUUGUCAUUGCUCUUAGCACGCAGAUGUCAGGAAGGAGCUCAGAGGUUACAGACUGACUGCAUCUGGGGGGCAUCGCCCAGCAGAACCUCAGUGUGUGAGGCGGCCGUUGUCACUGCUUCACUGCCGGCCUAUAGGCACGGCCUGGUGCAGAGCAGGAAAUCCAUCUCUGCUCUUACGAAAGGAAAAGCAGGCGUUGCAGGAUGAGGCUGCACAUUCAGGGCACAAGAAGCUGCAGCAAUAAGGCACUGCAACACCACGUUACUGAAUUACAAAAAUAAGCAUCUAAAGAAGCGGACGAUAAUACAGCUGUGCCGCUGAUGCAGAGUCCCACUUGGUCCAGGUGAACCUGCAUUCCCUGCUGUACUGGUGCUGCUGUCACUAUGGCUCCCAAUGCUCCAUGCCCAGGGCAGGGAUGGCACUCACUGGAAUGCUCCCAUAUUUCUUAUUGUGGAAAUCUCAUUUAAGGUCUGACCUCAUCCAGAGGCAGCGAGAGGCAAAGAAAUGGGUUUAAUUUAUUCAUGGUUUUGCUUUGAAUUCAAGCAGCCAGCCUCAGCAGCGUCCACCUAGGGGCUGGGGUACAGAGGGGCAGAUUUUAGUGCAGCCCAUCAGCACUGCAGGACCAGAUGGCACAUAGUGGUAUGGUCCUGGUCCCCCUAGUUCCCCGGCACCUGCCCUGGGCAGCAGAGCCCCAGCACCCACCAGCCCUGGUCCCAUGCUCCCCUGUGCACUAAGACAAGCUGCUCAGCACAGUGUCCCCAGCACAGCAUAACUGUGGGACAGGAAACAAUUCCCACUGUGUGCCGAGGAGGAGGAGGAGGGCUGGGGGAAAGAAGGGUGACUCCGUAACAGCACUGUUCUCCAGGGAUGAGAUGCCAGAGCAAGUGCAUCAUCAUGGAGAGACACCCAGCGAACGCAGAAACACAGCUAAUUUUAGCAGGAAAUAGGUUUCUGUUCUGUUUCAAUUUAUCCUUAAAUUCCCCCUUGCCCACAGCACACAAGGAUGACUGCCAAGGGCAGAGCUGCAGCUGAUCAGCAAACAGGGCACCAAUCCGGGACACUAAAUCUUCCAACUCAUUCCCUGACAAAGGCAAAUGCCAGGGCAACCGUUCCCAUCUUAAGCAGAAACCACUGGGUUCUCCUCGUUGCUCUCAGGGAUUGCAAACACGCUCAGUGCUUACACCCAGUUUUUAACAAAAACAGGACUGCAGGAGACCCUUUUUGCAGCCACAGAGGGCGUUUUGCUCACAGCCACCCCACCACCCCUGGGUGCGUGUGGGCAGAGCUCCCCCGAAUCCUUCUGCCAGCAGUUGUACACAGCAAAGCAUGAACUCAGAAACCAAACGUUUUGAUUGGGUUUCUGCCACGAGCUGAGCAGCGAUAAGGAAUGCGGCUGGGUUGAAACACGCUGGCUGCCGGCUCCGGCCUCGCUGCUCAAAAGAGGUUUUCAGAGACCCUCGCAGCUUUGAGAGAAGGCUUCUGGGUGAUUAAAUGAUCGGUGAACUCUGCCCACUUUCAGACGCUAAAUUCAUCCGAGGAGAUGAAACAUAAGUCAGGUUUUUGAUAUUUGGAAGGACUGCAAAAAUAGAGCCCAUCUGAUGCUGGGUAUUAUAAAAACAAGGCUCGGGGAAGAGGCUGCUGCUUUCAGUUUACUUAAUUAGUUUAUACACUGAAACUAUGAAUAAAAGGGCUGUGCAAUUGCUUUGGCUUCAGUAGUAGCCCCGCAACCAUGACAACGGUGAAGCAUUACUGAAUCACCAUGACAAAGAACUGAGAGAGGCUGCUGCUGCAGGAAGGGAACUCGGGCCAAUCAGAAGUGGUGCACGCAUGGAAAGCACGGCCUGCAGGAGUUGUACUUAACCUAAGAAGCCUAAGAAGCACUGGUUCUUAGAGCUCUAUGAAAAGAAAGAUCUGGGAAUGGGCCUCAGGCCCCUCGAAACAUCUACGGAGGUUCAUUUGGACCGUCCCCUUCACUGCUGGGUAAGGACGACGUUCUGCAGCUGCCGCUACCUCCUUAAAAGAAAAGCAGAACUGAAAAUGCACGGAGCAGAGCUGUGCUCCUGCCAAUAGCGGGGAAAUGCAGCCACAGCGCCAGCAGGGCCAGCCGAGGGAUGUGCCAGGCGUGCAGUGUGUGCCAGUCCCGCCCCAGGGACCUCAGUGCAGCACCAGCUCGGCACUUGCAGGCCGGGUGCUGCUGCUGCUCCAGAGGUUUGCUCACAGCAUGCUGCUCAGCGAGCGGCUGCACUUCAGCCCAUGGCUGGUGGCACUUUGCACCAUCCCAUGCCCUAUGGGACUCGGCUCUCAGAGCGCCCGGUGCUCCAGCACGCACACCGCACACCUUGUCCUACUGCUGUUCAUAAAGAACAAUGAAAAAAAUCACACGCUUGUCGCCCUCCCUUCCCCACCAGCCUACACUCUCCUGAGAAAUAGGAAAUAAGUUUGAAAGCAGAGGAAGGGACGAAACAUUUGCAUGGUACACGUUUCCACCACCACACCGUGCCUUGCUGCUUUCUCCUCUUGUGGCCCCACCAAGCAGCCCCAUGCCGGCAGCAGAGCCCAGUCCUUGGGCAGUAGGCACAGCCCCAGCAGUGCAUGUGCUCCUGCUCUGGGAGAGGGUGGAAGAGAGAGGAAGGAGAGCAGCGCUCAAAGAGCAUCUGCCCAGCACCAGGGCAGGGCAGCAGGGAGCAAGGUGAGGGCAGAGGCCUGGGGAGCUGCUCACAGACUGGCUCAAGGCAGGGAGCAGAGGGGCUUUUAAAACGCCAUGUCCUUGGGAUCGCCAGGCACAGUGUUAUUAUGCUCUUUCACAGAGUCUCCAUCACUCCUGCUGAUGGUCCACUUAUUUUAGGGGACUCAUUCAGUCCUUACACAGCAAACUUGGAAAGAGGUGAUGAUGCCUCUGCACCAGCACAGCAGCAGUCAAAACAAACUGGCUUUCACAGCCUGCACGGCCAUCCCAGACCACAGAGGGCAGGCAGAGCUGUGCUGAGGCUGCUGCCCUGGCAGCAAAUGGUGUCAGCAUUACAGAAAGGUGUGCUGAGCUUUUUUUGGAGGGCUGAAACAAUAGGAGGCAUCACCCAAAAAUAGCUGAGGGAGGUCAGGAGCUGAGCUCAGUGGCAGGAAGGCUUCCCUGUCUGCAAGCAUGGAGCUGGGAUGUGGGCACUGGCUGCUUGGGGGGGCCGCAGGGGCUGAGUGCCCAGAGGAUCAUCCAGGCAAGAAGAGAGCUGCUGCCUGCUCUGUGUGUGCUCAGGAAAGCUGAGCUCUGCGCAGCCUCUGGAAAUAAACAGCACUGCUGGCGAGACAUGCGGCCGAUCCAUCUUCCCUGCAGAAAGAGCUCUAUGAGCCUGCAAAUGUGGGCAAGGUGCUCGGGCCAGGGGAGGUCCCUGAGCAGUCUUGCAGCUUGUUGAGCAGCUAUGGAGCACUGCCCCAUGGGAGGCCUGCUCCUGCUCCGCGCAUUAUAACACACCGUGGGACUGUGGGGAUGUGGCUGCAGCAGCUCCAAGGUCACACUUGGGCUGCUCAGGGAAACCUGCGGCACCCCCACACAGCACCCAUGCCUCCUGAGGGCUCCGAAACCCUUUGGGCAGGUGGUGGAGCUCCUCCUGUGCUUGUACCUCUCUCACCUUCCUUGUGCUGCCAGCAUGCUUCCAGCAUCGUUACCUCUGGGCCGGAGAGGGGACUUCUGCAAACAGCCACAACUCAAACUGAAAGAGAGCAUUCAGUUUUGAGUUUCUAGCAACCACAUUUUCCAUUGAAGGACCAGCCAGAGAGACAAUCUUCAAACAAUUCUACUUGCCUAGUUUUAUAAUAAUUGAUGUUAGAAAACAGUGAAGAAUAAUAGCAGGCAGAAGCACAAAGAAAGGCUUCUGAGCAGUUGGCUCUACCGGACUUGUGUCCCUUCACUUGCAAACACUGGUGAGCAAGCAGAAACAUUUUUCACAUCACAGUGCUAAUUGUCAUCUUCCUUUCAUAUCAUUCCUCAGUGAUGAACGUUCAUCAGCAAAAAUACCUGGAAAUACUUGCCUAGAUUCCUAUUGCAACGCAAUCAGUGACUGACCUUGCACCAGCAUGAGCAGAACCACAGAUCUGUCCUGUGCACAGCAUGGGCGCAUCAGAAGAAGGAUGCCCUCCUGCUGCCUCCCUCCUCCCCUUCUCACCCCCCCAAUACCAGACAGCACCACCAGGUACACGAAAACAAAGGUUCACUCUGCCACCAAUUGGUGGGCACAGCACUGCCGAGCUUUCACCACUCAUAUUUACAGGUGUUUGUUUUCUUGUUUUUAAACCAACGCAGACUUCAGAUUAAAAAGGGACAACAAGGCCAGGUUAAGCUGGACAGUAUUUCCCCCAAGUGUCACAGUUAAGGCUGCAAAGUCUCCUCAUACACCUACAUCCCAAGCGCUCCCCACGUCAGCUGCUGCCAGGAGAUGCACCCACAGCCAACAGCCCCGGCAGCCCGAGCUCUCACAUGCAACAGCAAAUAUUUGAGGAUUAUUUUGCCAUGUUUGAUGUUUUUAGCUGACUCCCAAUUUCCGUGGCUAUGCUAACAGCCCUUGGAAUCCUCGUUAAACGUCUCACAGCCGCAAAUAUCUCCAUGUGUCCCCGGCAUCAAAUCAGCAUCUCGCCAAAUUUAUUCCCCCCUUUCUUUCCAGAGAUUCUCCUGCUCCAAGUGCUGAAGUGCCAAGAAACCGAGGACAGAAAAUAAACCAUUUACACAUGCUCUCAAAUCUCACUGAAACUGUUUAAUUCCAGAGAGGAUCUGAAAACUGUUCAACAUUUUUUCCCUAGGUCAGUAGCAGUUAAAAUACUUCUCUGCUUCAAAAGUCACCAUUGCAGGAAGUUAACAUUUUUAACAUUUGCAAUUAUUUCCUUUUAUUGCCACUAUAUAUAUAUAUUGCUCAAAUUAAAUUGUGUUUGCUAGGUGCACAGUCAUGCUGACACGCUGGGUGUUUGCACUCCCUGCUGCAACAGCAGCAAGGGUGUCAGGGAGAAAUGCAGCAUCUUCCACAGCUCCUGUUGCUAAGCGCCCUUGCCUACCAGUGCUCUGUGUUUCUCCGGACUCUCCUGCCUUGGAACUCUGCCCAAGUUCUGGUGACACCACUGCCCCAUGAGUCGCACUGACCUUGGGGAGGGGGCACAGGCCCCGUCAGCUGCAUGUGGGAUCCCUAGGACCACUCAGGCCCCGACCAUUCCCUGCUCUGGGCCAGCCAAGGCGGCAGCAGGAGGUCCAGGCCCACAGCUGCCAGUCUCUGUAGGGGUCAUACCAACCUACACCUUGCCACGCUUUACCCAGGGUGCCCAAGAGCAGACGAGCUGCUGCCAAUGCAGCUCUACCCUGUGAGCUGCAGCCAAACAACACUUUGGUACUUAGUGUGCACCUUACGAGCAGAUCUCAGAGGAAUCUGACAUAGAUCCCAUUGUUCUGCAUGCCUUAGCUAGGGUACAGAAGUGUGAUUCUCCAUCAUACCUGUUCCAUUAGGUUUUGGGAAGCCUCGGCUCUUCAGCCAAUCAACCUCAAAGCCAGGCUACUUUGGCUUGCAACCAUCACUUCACCUCAGCUA